AGAGUUUGAUCCUGGCUCAGGAUGAACUUUGGCGGCGUGCUUAACACAUGCAAGUCGAACGAAGCAAUAGGAAGGAAGUUUUCGGAUGGAAUUCAUAUUGACUGAGUGGCGGACGGGUGAGUAACGCGUGGGUAACCUGCCUCAUACAGGGGGAUAACAGUUAGAAAUGACUGCUAAUACCGCAUAAGCGCACAGAAUCGCAUGAUAAUGUGUGAAAAACUCCGGUGGUAUGAGAUGGACCCGCGUCUGAUUAGCUAGUUGGUGGGGUAAAGGCCUACCAAGGCGACGAUCAGUAGCCGACCUGAGAGGGUGAUCGGCCACAUUGGGACUGAGACACGGCCCAAACUCCUACGGGAGGCAGCAGUGGGGAAUAUUGCACAAUGGGGGAAACCCUGAUGCAGCAACGCCGCGUGAGUGAAGAAGUAUUUCGAUAUGUAAAGCUCUAUCAGCAGGGAAGAAGAUGACGGUACCUGAGUAAGAAGCCCCGGCUAACUACGUGCCAGCAGCCGCGGUAAUACGUAGGGGGCAAGCGUUAUCCGGAUUUACUGGGUGUAAAGGGAGCGUAGACGGCAUAGCAAGUCUGAAGUGAAAGCCCAAGGCUCAACCAUGGGACUGCUUUGGAAACUGUUAAGCUAGAGUGCUGGAGAGGUAAGCGGAAUUCCUAGUGUAGCGGUGAAAUGCGUAGAUAUUAGGAAGAACACCAGUGGCGAAGGCGGCUUACUGGACCGUAACUGAACGUUGAGGCUCGAAAGCGUGGGGAAGCAAACAGGAUUAGAUACCCUGGGUAGUCCACGCUGUAAACGAUGAAUGCUAGGUGUUGGGGAGCAAAGCUUUUUGGUGCUGCUGCAAACGCAAUAAGCAUUCCUCCUGGGGAGUACGUUCGCAAGAAUGGAACUCAAAGGAAUUGACGGGGACCCGCACAAGCGGUGGAGCAUGUGGUUUAAUUCGAAGCAACGCGAAGAACCUUACCAAGUCUUGACAUCCCGGUGACGCAUGUAGAAAUAUAUGUUUUCUUCGGAACACUGGAGACAGGUGGUGCAUGGUUGUCGUCAGCUCGUGUCGUGAGAUGUUGGGUUAAGUCCCGCAACGAGCGCAACCCUUAUUCUUAGUAGCCAGCAGGUAAAGCUGGGCACUCUAGGGGGACUGCCGGGGAGGACCCGGAGGAAGGCGGGGAUGACGUCAAAUCAUCAUGCCCCUUAUGGCCUGGGCUACACACGUGCUACAAUGGCGUAACAGAGGGAGGCGAAGCCGCGAGGCGGAGCGAACCCCAAAAAUAACGUCCCAGUUCGGACUGCAGCCUGCAACCCGGCUGCACGAAGCUGGAAUCGCUAGUAAUCGCGGAUCAGAAUGCCGCGGUGAAUACGUUCCCGGGUCUUGCACACACCGCCC
rnacentral:rRNA from 1 species